ACUCAAACAAACAUCCACAACGCUGUGUGUAGUUGGUUGACAUCGGGUCAGAUCUGUUUUUCGAGAAUUUGGUCCCCUUCAACCAGCUGUAGCAGUGGUUGAUGACAACAAGUUGAGAUG
rnacentral:pre_miRNA from 15 species